UAGGGAAUAUUGGACAAUGGGUGAGAGCCUGAUCCAGCCAUGCCGCGUGCAGGAAGAAGGCGUUAUGCGUUGUAAACUGCUUUUUGCCAGGGGAUAAAAAGACCGUGCGCGGUUAAUUGAAGGUACCUGGUGAAUAAGCCACGGCUAACUACGUGCCAGCAGCCGCGGUAAUACGUAGGUGGCAAGCGUUGUCCGGAUUUAUUGGGUUUAAAGGGUGCGUAGGUGGCCCUGUAAGUCAGUGGUGAAAUAUCUCAGCUUAACUGAGAGGGUGCCAUUGAUACUGCAGGGCUUGAGUACAGAUGAGGUAGGCGGAAUUGACGGUGUAGCGGUGAAAUGCAUAGAUAUCGUCAAGAACACCGAUAGCGAAGGCAGCUUACCAAGCUGUAACUGACACUGAGGCACGAAAGUGUGGGGAUCAAACAGGAUUAGAUACCCACGUAGUCCCUGAGCGGGCUGGCAAGGCGCAU
rnacentral:rRNA from 1 species